AAAAACCUUAUUAAAAUGGCGGCAUUUUACCUUAUUAGAGGAACCUAUUUAUUAAUCGAUAAUACACGAUAAUUUUCACUUAAAUUAUAAAUUUAUAUACCGCCGUCAUAAGAAUUAAUUCAAUAAUAUUAUUCUUUGUAAAUAAAAAAAGUUAGGUAAAGGUGUAAUUAACUUUAUAGUUAAAAUGAGUUACACUAAAAAUAAUUUAAGAAUAAAUUUUUUAAAAAAUUUUUUGAAAAAGGAUUUAAAAGUAUCAUUAAUACUAAUAUUUUAAUAAG
rnacentral:rRNA from 1 species